rnacentral:rRNA from 1 species
GAUGAACGCUAGCGGCAGGCCUAAUACAUGCAAGUCGAACGGGAUCUGAGGGUAGCUUGCUACCCGAUUUGAGAGUGGCGCACGGGUGCGUAACGCGUGAGCAACCUACCCAUAUCAGGGGGAUAGCCCGAAGAAAUUCGGAUUAACACCGCAUAACAAUACGUUAACACAUGUUAAUGUAUUUAAAUAUUUAUAGGAUAUGGAUGGGCUCGCGUGACAUUAGCUAGUUGGUAAGGUAACGGCUUACCAAGGCGACGAUGUCUAGGGGCUCUGAGAGGGGAAUCCCCCACACUGGUACUGGGACACGGACCAGACUCCUACGGGAGGCAGCAGUAAGGAAUAUUGGUCAAUGGGCGCAAGCCUGAACCAGCCAUGCCGCGUGCAGGAUGACUGACCUAUGGGUUGUAAACUGCUUUUGUUAGGGAAUAAACCUACUUAUGUAUAAGUAGCUGAAUGUACCUAAAGAAUAAGGAUCGGCUAACUCCGUGCCAGCCGCCGCCGUAA